rnacentral:rRNA from 1 species
UACGUAGGGCGCAAGCGUUGUCCGGAAUUAUUGGGCGUAAAGAGCUCGUAGGCGGUUUGUCGCGUCUGCUGUGAAAACCUCAGGCUCAACCUGGGGCUUGCAGUGGGUACGGGCAGACUAGAGUGCGGUAGGGGUGACUGGAAUUCCUGGUGUAGCGGUGGAAUGCGCAGAUAUCAGGAGGAACACCAAUGGCGAAGGCAGCUCACUGGGACGGUAUUGACGCUGAGACGCGAAAGCGUGGGGAGCAAACAGG